rnacentral:rRNA from 1 species
UACGGAGGGUGCAAGCGUUGUCCGGAUUUAUUGGGUUUAAAGGGUGCGUAGGCGGCUCUUUAAGUCAGUGGUGAAAUACUGCAGCUCAACUGUAGCAUUGCCAUUGAUACUGAAGAGCUUGAGUACAGAUGAGGUAGGCGGAAUUUAUGGUGUAGCAGUGAAAUGCAUAGAUACCAUAAAGAACACCGAUUGCGAAGGCAGCUUACUAAGCUGUAACUGACGCUGAGGCACGAAAGCGUGGGGAGCGAACAGG